CAGCAGAAGGAGAAGCCGCUGUCCCCCACACACACCGCCGUCCUGACCCUCCGUGUCUUCUCUGGGAAGCGCUGCAUCAUGGGACUCCACCGGUGGAGUGGCGCCGUGUGUCUGUGUGUCUGGGUGGUGCUGGACGCUGCAGCUGCGCCCCAGCAUGGACUCGCAGCGGGUGAAGGAGGCGUCGGAGGUUUCAGCCGAAGACUCCAGGCUGUGGAGGGUGACAACAAUAAGACAGAAGUCUCCAAAAGCCGUAAGAACGGCCACUCAUCUCAGUCUGUGUCUUCAGACUUGAGGAAACUAAGCCGAUAGAAACAGGAAGCGUUUCUAAUUACCCACCCAGCCCUUUACCUUUAAUGCGUUUAUCAGAUGGCCUUAUCCAGAGCGCCUUACAAUACGUUCUGAUGGUCGGAGACACUCAGGGACACAAUUGUAGUAAGUGGGUUUGAACCGGGGAUUUUGUGACAUCAACUGGUUCAGAGUUGGGUGUCUUAGCAACUAGACUGUAUUCAUUUCUGAUUAAGAUUAAAUGAACAAUAUUUGAAAAAGGGGAGGAGCCUGUAGGCAUGAUUGACAGCCCUAAUUUAAUUCCAGCAUUCUGAUGGGGGAACUGGUGAAUUAGUGAACAUUAGUGACCACGCCCACUACCAACAUGCAGGUUAUCAGGCGCUUUAAUCGUUCUGAUGGGUGAACUGGUGAAUUAGUGAACAUUAGUGACCACGCCCACUACCAACAUGCAGGUUAUCAGACGCUUUAAUUCCAGCAAUUUCUGAUGGGGGAAACUGGUGAAUUAGUGAACAUUAGUGACCACGCCCACUACCAACAUGCAGGUUAUCAGGCGCUUUAAUCGUUCUGAUGGGUGAACUGGUGAAUUAGUGAACAUUAGUGACCACGCCCACUACCAACACCAACAUGCAGGUUAUCAGACGCUUUAAUUCCAGCGUUCUGAUGGGGGAACUGGUGAAUUAGUGAACAUUAGUGACCACGCCCACUACCAACACCAACAUGCAGGUUAUCAGGCGCUUUAAUCGUUCUGAUUAGUGAACUGGUGAAUUAGUGAACAUUAGUGACCACGCCCACUACCAACACCAACAUGCAGGUUAUCAGGCGCUUUAAUUCCAGCGUUCUGAUGGGGGAACUGGUGACUUAGUGAACAUUAGUGACCACGCCCACUACCAACAUGCAGGUUAUCAGGUGCUUUAAUUCCAGCGCUCUGAUGGGUGAACUGGUGAAUUAGUGAACAUUAGUGACCACGCCCACUACCGACACCAACAUGCAGGUUAUCAGGCGCUUUAAUUCCAGCGUUCUGAUG
rnacentral:lncRNA from 1 species